ACGCUGGCGGCAGGCCUAACACAUGCAAGUCGAGCGGUAGAGAGAAGCUUGCUUCUCUUGAGAGCGGCGGACGGGUGAGUAAUGCCUAGGAAUCUGCCUGGUAGUGGGGGAUAACGUUCGGAAACGGACGCUAAUACCGCAUACGUCCUACGGGAGAAAGCAGGGGACCUUCGGGCCUUGCGCUAUCAGAUGAGCCUAGGUCGGAUUAGCUAGUUGGUGGGGUAAUGGCUCACCAAGGCGACGAUCCGUAACUGGUCUGAGAGGAUGAUCAGUCACACUGGAACUGAGACACGGUCCAGACUCCUACGGGAGGCAGCAGUGGGGAAUAUUGGACAAUGGGCGAAAGCCUGAUCCAGCCAUGCCGCGUGUGUGAAGAAGGUCUUCGGAUUGUAAAGCACUUUAAGUUGGGAGGAAGGGCAGUUGCCUAAUACGUAACUGUUUUGACGUUACCGACAGAAUAAGCACCGGCUAACUCUGUGCCAGCAGCCGCGGUAAUACAGAGGGUGCAAGCGUUAAUCGGAAUUACUGGGCGUAAAGCGCGCGUAGGUGGUUUGUUAAGUUGGAUGUGAAAUCCCCGGGCUCAACCUGGGAACUGCAUUCAAAACUGACUGACUAGAGUAUGGUAGAGGGUGGUGGAAUUUCCUGUGUAGCGGUGAAAUGCGUAGAUAUAGGAAGGAACACCAGUGGCGAAGGCGACCACCUGGACUAAUACUGACACUGAGG
rnacentral:rRNA from 1 species